GGCUCGUAAUAUGGAUUUAGUCAGGAGCUUGGGGGCUGAUGAGGUUCUUGACUACAAAACUCCUGAUGGGGUGGCUCUCAGGAGCCCUUCUGGUCGCAAAUACGAUGUAAUCAUUCAUUGCGCACACAACAUUCCUUGGUCUACCUUUGAGGCUAACUUGACUUCAAAAGGAAAGGUAGUAAAUACCACUCCUGGUAUCUGUACUGUGAUGAGUGCUGCUGCGAAAACGAUUAAAUGCUCGAAGAAGCAACUCAUACCCUUGUUUACCUCACCUAAGAAAGAGAACCUUGAUUUUCUUGUUAAUUUGGUGAAAGCAAGAAAGCUUAAGCCAAUAAUCGAUUCAAAGCAUCCUCUAAGUAAGGCUGAAGUGGCUUGGGCCAAGAGCAUUGAUGGCCAUGCCACUGGCAAGAUUCUUGUGGAGCCCUAGUUUAUGAAGAUUAGUUGAUGCAUACACUAAUUUUAUAAUUUUUCAGUGAGUUCGGUUGCUUAUGAGCCAUCUGUAUAUGUUGGUAUGUGAGGAGUUUUUUUCCAACUAUGUUGUGUGUGAUGUAAUGUUAUUGAGCAUUGUGUCUUGUUAUGAAAUUUAUUUAUUUAUUUUUUGUUUUAUGUAAUUUGAAUUAAAGAUGAUAUUAUGGAUAAUUAGACACUUUGUUUAUGUAGUAAUGCUUAAAUAAUUAUACCAAUAGCGACAGUUUCAUACAAUUACUUCUCUAAAUAUUAUUAUUAGUGUAAAGUAAAAUUUGAUGAGCAGAGUUAAGAUACUAACACGUAUGAUUUUAUUUAUUUUUAAAUAUAAUUCAAACCACACUUAUCAUCUAAAACUUAAAUUAUUGAUUUUUUUUCUUUCCAUUAGCAAUAUAUAUAUAUGAUAAUAAUCUAUAUAUUAAUUCUCAAAAUGUUUUUAUUUAUUUUUAAUAUUAAAUUAUCUUAUUGCUCACAUAUUUUAAGGUUUAAAUGGAUAAUUUAGUCUACCCUUAACACUUUUUUGAUUGAUAUGGUCAAGUGUAUUUUUGUCUAAAAGUUUUUAAUUAAAUUUGUUGAAGUAAUUAUGUGAGCAGUGACAUAUGUAUGCAGUGCUAUAAGCACCAAGACAACAAUAUAUCUUUCAUUCUUUGUGUUAGCAAUUUUUUGGAGCAAAAUCAUUGGGUUAUAAGUCUUGCUAAUAUUGUGGAAGUAUGAUAGUCAAUUGAUGAGGAACGAUCCUUUUGAAGCAACAUUACUUGAUGAAUGGACUGGAUCGAGUCAAGCAAUCGAAUUUCUUAAAAUAAGAAGUUUGGAUUAGUACUGAAUUGAAGACUUAUCUCCAAUGAUUCUACAUUAUCUUGAACUUUAUUAAUAUAUUGUGUAUGCUAUUUUAGUUGUAGUCUUCUAAGGGAAUUGAAUGUAAUUGAACUAGUCUAUUAGUAAGUAUUGAAGUUUUAUAUAUUUGAAGAGACUUACCAAAAUCCGAUUUUUGGGCACGACAAUAAUUUGUAUUCUCAAAUGAUAGCGGUAGGAUUUGCAACCAUUGUGGAAAUUUCAUUUUCCUUGCGAUUAAUAUCUUACUCACAAGGGGCAGAAGUCGCAAAAUCUCAUAAUUUACAAUCAAUUCAUUCAAUAUUUCUUUUUUUAGAUGACAAAUUCUCACAUUUAAAUUAUGUGUUAGAGACACUAAUACCUCAUCUCAUCCAUCUAGAAAUCUUAGUUCAAACCCUUCGCUACUGCGUAAAAGAUGCUUCUUCUUUUCAUUUAUUAUGGUUCUCUCUCUACGAGUAUUGUAAUUUGAAGAGUUUUAUUACUCCAAAGAAAUCUAUUUCGAUUUUGACUCCAAGAUCAUUCUUGUUCCUAUAUAAUUCUCAUACAUGUGAAUACGAAUCCAUUUUCCUUUUUCUCCGUAAUCAAUCUUCUUAUUUACGAUCAACAUCUUCUGGAGUCUUUCUGAAGCAUACAGCUUUCUGGAUGUAGAUGAUGAUAUCUAUACAGAUGGAUUCAUAUAAUUCUUAUAUAUAUUGUACAAUGAAGUACCACAUGAGUGGAUAUAUAGGAUCCAAAUCUGUCGAACCACUCAUGUUAUGAUCUUCUACAUCCUAGGUCUUCUCGUUCUGUCAUCUAGCUUAUGUUCUUCAUGUAGGUAUAGGUUUGAUAUUGAAAGUAUUUAGCGCUUAUUUCUUCAUUAAGGAACAUUAAUAGUGUAAACAAGUUUAUUGUUUGGUUUAUAACCUCUUGAAAGCUUAGAAGUGAGUGAUUUAGAUUUUUAGGUACAAAAGUGAAGUUGUUAUAUUGAGUGUGAUAGGAUUUAAAUCACUUACUAUAUUGGGAUUAAGAAUAAUGGGUUAUCUUGCUUAUGUAGGCUCCACAGAUGUAAGAAAAUAAAAUUUCGUAAAUAAUUCAUUUGUGUUUUUCAUUGUUCUUGUCCUAGUGCCCUUUUUAGUGAGCACUACAACUUGUACUUUCAUUUGGAGAGAUUGUUUUCUUUGAUGGUAGUUUUUAAUAGAAUCUAAUUUUCAUUAUUAGGGCAUGUUGAAAAGACCUUACACUAUCGAGGUCAUAAUUCAUUUUUUCAAGAAUCUCGUACAAUCAUUUGUUGAUGAUGAUGUGAUAUUUGAUGAAAUCAAAAUCAAAUUAUUUUGUUCCAACUUUCUCCUAACACUUUUUAAUACAUUCUUUUUUAGUUUCCUUUUCAAAUUUACAAUAUUUUUAGGUUGUGUUUGAAAAGUCGUCUAAUAAUUGGAUUUGAAUGUAAUUGUUUGUACUUACAUAAAAGUGGCAUGUUUGGGUAACCAUUAUAGUUAGUGGGUCCCAUCGAAUUGGUGUAAUUGGAGAACCUCAAUUACAUUUUCCAAUUUUUUCAUGGGGAAGAGUGAGAAUUGAAGUAAUUACGUAGGUAAUUACACUCAAAUUUGAUUUUAAAUUUUAUUUUUAUAUUAGUUAUAAAAAUUAUAUUAUAAGCAUGAACGCAUAUGAGUGUUUGGGAUGAUUAGAGCCUAAAUUUUCUUAUAUUGUAAAUUUUAAAAAUUAUAUUAUAAAAAUAAUUUGUGUAUUUUAUAAAGUUAUAACAAAAAUUAAAUUAUUUAAAUCUUAAAAAAUUCUAAAGUUGUGUCCAAAAAUUUUAUUAUAAAAAAUAAUUUACAUGUUAUAAAAGUGUUAUAAUAUAUUUAUUUAAAAAGGAAGCUAUGGCCAAGUAUGAACUUAACUUAUUUAUGUGUUCAUGUUAUAUAUUAUAAAAAAUAAUAUACUUAUUCAUAAAAAAAUGUUAAUAGUUUUUUUUUAUCAUAACUUAUUUAUAAAAAAUAACUUUAUAAAGUUGUGACAAAAAAUUAUCUUAUUUAUAAGAAGUGUUAUGAAAGUUUUGAACAAUUUAUAAGAUCUUUUAUAUAAAGGUUAUUUAUAUUUUUUAUUUAAUUUACAUAUUAUAAAGAUGGAUAUAACAUAGCAUUAGUUUUUCUCCAAAUUAAGUUUAUAUAAGUUUUAUAUAAUUAAAGCUAUAAAUUAUUUGGAUUGUGAACUCAAUUAUUUAUAAGGUCGAUGCUAAUUAUACAAAUAGAAAAAUAUUUCUUGCACCAUAUUGUUGUUGGGAUCUAGUGCCCUUAGUGUAGUGGUUUCAUAUCUAUAUGUAUUUGUAAUUUUCAAACAAAUUGGUUUAAUAAAAUAUCCUUCAAUAUCAUUAAUAUAUUCGUAUAUUGUCAUCAACAGCUUAUUCACACAAAACAAAAUGAAAGCAAAUAUUGGCUCAUUGAUUAUCUAAGAUUUAACUAAUACUAAGCAAUAUUAUGUGAUCAGAUUAUAUACGGAAAAACAAUUUAUAUUAGUGGAUAAUCUAAACACGUCAUUAUCCUAGUUAGAAUUGAGCAAAUCAAUUGAAAACCUAAUAUGUCGUCUAUCAAGUCCAAUUGGGGAGAUACUUUGCCUUGGGUAUCGAAACAUGACCACCCGUAACACUCAUAGCACUGUACUCUUUUUUUUUUUUUUGUCUUUCUCUAGCUCCUCGUUGAUAGUAAUUCCCUUUAUCUUUUUUUUUAGGGGCAUUAGAAUUAAUUUCAAACUUUUUGAACCUCCUAGCUUGUUUCUUGAAGUCCUUCUUGGAAUUAUGUGUUAGCAAGAUAAUAUGUUCUUAAAAAGCUCCAAUAGUAGUUACAUUUGAGGAAGUGGGCACAGCCUCAGUGGCUUGAAAGAUUAUGUUUUUAUCUCCCUUACUCCUACCUUGUUUUGCCUCAUCAAGAUUCAUUUCAAAAGUAUGUAAUGAGCUAAUAAGUUCAUCAAUAGCCAACCUCUACAAAUCCUUAGCCUCCUCAACAUUAGUAACUUUUAUAAAUAAAUAAAUAAAACUCUCAAGAAAAGACCUUAGAAUCUUUCUAACCAGCUUUGUAUUAGAGUACUCAUUUUCUAAUACGAAUGCUUGAGUUAAAAGAUCACACAACUUAACAUAGAAUUCUCCAGUAGUUUUGGGUUCCUGCAUUCGAAGACUUUCAAACCUAGAUGCUAACAUUCGCAUCUUCAAUUAUUUGAAAGUUGUAGUACCUUCAUAAGCAAUCUUCAAUAUAUCCCAGGCUGACUUUUCUAAAGCGCAUUUGGAAAUUCUUUUGAAUUCUUAAAGAUCGACUCUGCAUAAUACAACAUAUAGAGCUUUAUUAUUAGCAUUGGCCAGUUUUUCUUCCUCAAUAGUCCACUAAACUUCAGGCUUAACUACUUUCUCAUUUUUAGUGUCAAUCUUUAGGGUUCCCAACCUGUCAAUAGAACACGCCAUACAUUUUCAUCAAUAAACCUAAUGUAUACCUUCAUUUGUGCUUUCCAAUAAGCAUAAUUUCCAACUUCAAGCAUAGGAGGACAAGAUGUAGAAGAACCUUCCAUAAUUUGAAUCUAGAAAUUUUUAGGCUCUCCACUAGUUAUGUUAAAUGGCAGGUUCUAAUGCCAAAUGUAAUUAUAAAACCAUUGCUAGUAAUUAAACUAAGUGCUUAGGAGUGACAUGGAAGUAAGCCCUUCUUUAGCACCAAAUCAGAAAACAGAAAAACAAAUUGAACACACAACGGAGCCUAGCUUAAUGAGAAAUAUCUACUCUCUUCAACGAUUACAACAAAUGAAUCUAAACUAUCACACACCCCGUGAUAAUUCUCCUCAUUUUUUAACAUUAAAGAUUAAUACUCUCACCACUUAGUUCACCCCUAUGAACUCAACAAGUAAAACCACAACACAAAUAAUUUUACUAACAAAUUGUACUCUAAGAAAAAAUCCUUACUUGAACACAAUAAGUGUUUAAAAUCUCUCAAUAUAAUAACCUAUACAAGUCUCACCCUUAAAUAGAUUUAUAUUCGAGACUUGCUAACAUAGAAGAUCUAAAUCAAUCUCAUUAAAACAAUAAUAAUAUAAAUUGCUUACAAUACAAUAGUAGUAGAUAAUACAAAUGUGGACUCUUGGUAGCUAAUCAGAUAAAGUUUCUAUCCAAUCCAAAUGUCCAUGUUGCAAAGAAUUACUUGAGUGAUUUAAUUCGAUCCUAUCUUCAAUAUGAAUUUCCUAAAUAAUAUGACUUUCAUUAUUGGGCUAGAUGUCUUCCAAGUAUUCAGCGCAACCCAUCCAAAUCGUUCAAUAAACUGUCAAUACUCAAAUAUAAAAAUUGUCAUUAAAUAGCUCCAAUGCUGGGGAAGUGGGCACUUCCCUGACACUCAAUGGCCAUUUUCAUAUUUUUCUACAAACAAGAUUUCGAUUUAAACUAAGUAUAAUUCUCAACAACUCAUGGAAUCUAAGCUUCCAUUACACAAUUUUCUCAACCAUGGCAAUUUGAUUAAAACUUAAUAAUUGAAGAAAAAUCUAACACUAAGGUUGGACGUGCUAAGUUAGGAUGGUCAAAAAUUCAUGAAAAUUUCAAAAACAAUCUUCCUUACUUAUGUGGAAUGAUGGACGGCAAUAGCUAGGUAAAAUAUAGGAAAUUUUCUUUCUUUUCUUGAAGCAUGAAUGACAACAUGAAGAAGAUGGUGAUGAUUUUUCAUUUACUUUCUUUCUAAGUUCCCAAUUAUCAUAAUUAAGUAAUGGGCUUCAUUUAUUCAUCAAUGCAAGCUAGAAAUCUAUUAAAAUUUGAAGAGAAAAACCAUCCCUACCCAAGUAUUGGAGAUUCGACAAUGGAGCUAACCUUGAGAGAAAUUUAUUCCUUUCUUUCUUACAAACUUUGGUGAUAAGGACGAGAUCCAAUUUCUUUUUCCUACCAACACACACACAUAUAUAUAUUAGAAAUUUAUCACACACGUAUACAUAUGGAAAUCACGUAUUUAGAAAACAGGUGUGUAUUUAAAAAUAACAUUCAAUAAAUAAUGAAAUCUAAGGUUUGAAACUAAUAAUGAUAACAACACAUAUGCAAUAUGUACAAAAUUAAAAUAAAAAAUAGUUUAACUUGUGAGUAAAAGGAAAUUGAAAUGUAUAAAUAAUUCAUUUAUAAAUCCAUUAAACAUAGGUUCAAUCCCUAGAUAUAUUAAUUUUAGUUCUUUUAUUUAAAAAUUAUAUAAAAGUAUGAAAAGACAAAAAGGGCAUUAAAAUAAUAAUAAUAGUUAUUUAAUAAAAGGGUAUAUUAGUCAUUUUCUAAUCGAGUUGAUAUCUAGUUAACUCGUAACACCAACUCAAUCUAGGGAUUAUUUUAAUAGUGUAUAUAUAAUAUCAUAAUUAAAACUUAAUUGAUUGAAAUCAAUGGUUGAUAGGGGUGAGUGUUCAAUCAAAUCGAGUGAAAAAAAUUCGAGUUAAUUAAGUUGAUGAGUCAUAUUUUUAUCAUCCUAACUCUAUUUGAAAUUUUUUUUUCGAGUUGAGUGAAAUAAAAUUCAAGUUAAGUCAAAUCGAGUGAAAUUAUUCAUUAAAUUAAAAAAUUAAACAUGUCAAAUUAAAAUAUUAUUAUAAUAUAAUUAAUUUCAUGGUAAAGCGCAUAAAUUUGAAAACUUUUUUAAACCAAAAUAAGAAGAAGAAAAAAUACUAAUGAAAUGUCACAAUUUUGUUUUUAUACAUGUCAAAGUGAUGGAAAAAAAUAUCUUUUACAUAUCCACCCAAUUUAGCAACUUUUGGGGAAAUGAUACAAAAAAUAUAUAUUUUUUCACACCAGAAAAAUUGUUUUCUGAUGAAUUGUAUACUGAUUGGAGUUUUAUCAAUGAACUAAAAAGAAGAAAUUUUACUAAGGAGUUUAUAAAAAGAGUCGAAUCUUUUGAUCUGAGCAUACUUGAAAAAAGGACUCGUUUCUCUAGUAAUGAAACUAAAAGAGAUAAACUUGAAUAAUUAAUUAACUUAUUUAAGUCUCAAAUUUAUUAUUUUAGAAAAUAUUUAAAUAUUUAAAUUUCUUUAUAUGUUCUUUAGAAUUUUUUAAAAUUUUUUAAAAAUAUAAAUUUUGAAAUUUUUAUAAAUAUUUUGAAUUUUUUUUGUAAUUUUUGUUGAGAGAGACCAAUUUGCCCAUUUUCAAAAUUGAUAGGGAUCAAGGGGGUAUUUACACCAAUCUGUUAUUCAAAUUGUAAAAUUCAAAUAUACUCGAACUACUUAUUCUAGUUGACUCGAAGAAAAUUAAAUAACUCUAAUAACUUUAUUUGAUUAACUCAAGAUUAAAAUCUUUUAUUUUUAUUUUUCGAAUGGGUGAUGAAAAUCUAAUACAGCAAACAGCGGUGGGAAUGGAUGGAUCAAAGCAUCCGACUUAAUAAUGGGCAUAAUUACCACUUAGAUCUCACUCCAAUUAUUCCUUCAUUUCAUGCUUCUUUAAUACUUUAGUCCUUGGAUAUUUGUAUAAUAACUUAUCAAUUUAAUUAAUAAUCAAUUCUUUUCAAUUAAUUACUAAAUAAUUUUAUUUCUAAUUUAAUUACUAAUAUUUCAAUUUUCUAAUUCUUUACUCGCUUUGUAGUUGUUGGAUAAAAACCUUUGGACAAAAUCGACUUUUCCGACACUAAUAAAAGUCAGUUGUUACAUACUCUCCGCCUUAGCAGGAUUUUUAUUUAUUUUAAAUUAUAAUAAUCAAUAUAAUUAUAUUUUAUUAAUUAUAGAAGUUAAAUAUAAUAUUUUUAAAAUCAGAUCCCCAAAUUGAGUUGUAAGUAAAGGUGCAGAUCAAUCCCUUCAAAUAUAUUAUUUAACAUUAAAAUAAAAAGUAAUAAUAUAUUUUUUUUGGUGCAAACAUAUUACUUAAAUUAAAUCCACUUGAAAGUAAAUAAAUUACUUUAAAUAUGUCAUUUAAAACUAAAUGGCAAAAAAAAAGUAAUAAAAUAAAGGGUAAAUUAUAAAAUAGUUACUUUUGUUUGCCUAAGAUUAUAUUGUAGUCACUUAUGUUUGAAAUAUUACGUUUUAGUUACUUACGUCAUCGUUUUAUUACGAAGUUAUCACUCUACCAUUAAACUCUGUUACCUUCCUAACAGCAGUCCAAAUGGGUUUUAAAUGUCAACUUAGAUGUCCUACAUGACAGUCUAAAUUAAAACCUAUUUAAAACCCAAAUUGGCAUUUAAAACCUUAUUUGAACUGCCAUAUAGGACUGCCGUUAGGGAGGUAACAGAGCUUAAUAGUAGAAUGACCACUUUGUAACAAAACGAUAACAUAAGUGACUAAAGCGUAACAUUUCAAACAUAAGUGACUAAAAUGUAAUCUGAGGUAAAUAAAAGUGACUAUUUUUAUAAUUUACCCUAAAAUAAAAUUUUCUUAACUGGGUCAAAGAUGUAUACCGAAUCAAUUUGUAAGUUGUCAUGCAUACCGUCAUCUUUGAAUACAAAUUCUGAAAAAUAAGAAACUAAAAAUAUAUCUUUUGAAUUUUAAAUUCUUUUAAAAUGUAACAUUUAAAAAAUUAAAAAUAUUUAAAUAAAAUAUUUUAUUAGAAUAAAAAAAGAAAGAGAAAAACUUGCUGUAUAGAUAUAGAUUUCUUUUAUAUAAAUUAAUUAUGAGGAUUUUUUUGUCCCUCUAAUUUUAAAAAAAAUUAUUUUAGCUCUUCAUUUAAUUUUUUAUCCUUUUUAGUUCUUAAAUUUAUAUUUUUUAUCGAAUUACCUCAAAAUAGAUGUAAAAAUUAACGUGUGUAUAUAUAUAUAUAUGUGAAUAACACGUAAGCAUUUAAUUAAAAUUUUAACAUUUUAAAAAUUCAAAAAAUUAUUUUUAAAAAUAAAAAAAAUCAUCACAAUUAUUAAAAAAUUUUAAAUUUAAAAAAUUAAUUAAAUGUUGACAUAUCAUCCACGUAUAUACCACAUCAGCAAAGUUAACAAAAGUUAACAUUUUCAUUCAUUUUGGGGUGAUUUGACAAAUAAUACAAGUUCAAUGGCUAAAAAAACUAAAAAUUAAAUAAAGGACUAAAAUGACCUUUUUGUAAAAUUAGAAGACCAAAAAAAAUCAUUAUACCUUUUUUUUUUAUGUGUAACAGCAUAGAUAUAGAUUUUGUAUUUGCAGGUGUUAGCCUCUGUUGAAGUGUAGGCAUGUGCGUGAGAGGAGUCAAAUCUGGUAAGUAACAACGAAGAAGCAUCAAACACAACUCCCUUUUUCCUUAUGAUAGGUCAAAGUAAAAAAUGUAGCCAUGUGAUAGAUCAGGAAAAAUAUACCAUAUAAGUUUUUUUACUCUUCACAAAUUUAAAUUUUAGUUUUUGUAUUUUUUUUUUAAGAAUUUAGUCUUUCUAUUUUUUAGAUUUCAAAAAUUCAAGUUCAAUUGUCAACUCUAUUAUUAUUUUUUUGUUCAAUUUAAAAAUACUUAUUAAAAAUAUAGAAAUUUAUUUAAAUUUUAUUAAAAAUUAUAAGAAAUUACAAAAAGUAUUGUAAAUUAUUAAAAGUAUAUAAAAUUACAACAAUUUUUUAGUAUUUUAAAAUUAUUAAAAAAUAUUUUUUGGACUUUUUUAAAUUUUAAAACAUUUGCUCAGGUGGCAUUUUAUCAUGUUAGCAAAAGGUACAUGUCCUACUUGCUUCAUUAGUCAGUCAUCACUUAAUGAUACAGAUGGAUGAAAUUUUAAAAAAAAUGAUCAGUUUGCUCUUUAAUCUAACAAAUAGGAGUUAAUCUGUCCAUUUUUUAAUAGAGAGGAAAAAUAUAAUCUAAUUCUUAGUAUAAGGAUCCUCAUGGUAGUUUUACCAUUUAUCCAACCACAUCAAUUACAACAAAACUAAAUGUGAGCAAAAUCCAAUUCGGCUUGAAAAAACAACAAAAAAAAGUCAAAUUUUAAAUUAAGUAGUUCAAAUAAUUCGAUUUGCUCAAGUUAUUUGGGUCAACUCGAAUAAGAAAACUGCAUAAUUCAAUUUAGAUCAAAUAUAAAUUACAAAACUCGAAUUAUCCGAAAAAGAAAAACCAAAACAAUGUGGUUUUAGUAAAUUUAUGUUUUAACUUUCCCAAAGUUAAAACCCGUCGAUGCUUUGCCCGUACACUUCCUUCCCACACUUUCACUUUUCCUUCAUUCAAAAUUUAACGACAUGUUUGGUUCAAUGGAAUGGAAUAGGUUUGUAAUGGAAUAGUCAUUCUGUGGGAAUGGAAUAAGGUUGUAAUGGAAUUGAAUAGGCAUAACAGUGGUGUGGUUUGGUUGGAAUGGAAUGAGUAUUGUAAUAGUACUCAUGUGUUUGGUUGAGAGGAAUAGAUAUGUAAUAGCAAAAAAAAAAAACUCGAACAAUGAAUAUGCCCUUUAAUAUUUUAAUGUAUUUCUCACAUCAAUUUAAUAUUAAAGAAUAAUAUUUUCUAUCAAAACAAUAACAAUUUAAUAUAAAAUAUCUCUAAACCCUAAACCCUAAAUAUUUUAUAUUAAAUUAUAUUAAAAGAUCUUUUAUUUUCUCCACUUUCUUCAUCUUCGUUGGUCCCCUUUCUCUCCCCAAAUUCAUCUUCAUCUUCAUCUUCAUCUUCCUCUCAAACUUUUUACUUUGAACUUCAUCAACUCUUUGUUCAAAAAGCAUAUCUAUUCAAAAAUAUUUUAAUUGUUAUAUCAAAAUAAUUUAUCAAAUAAAGCUUAGUACAACAAUAACCUAGAUCUACAAAGAUUCUGUAUCAAAAUUUCUCUUCUUCUUUUUUUGUUUAUUUUGUUUACUAGUAUUGUUAAAGAGCUUUCAAAAUAAAAAUAUUGUUAAAGAAGUAGCACUAACUUAAUUCAACCAUCAUUUUAGCAUCUAAAUAACAUAGCAAACCAUGGUCAUCUUUCAAGAGUCCAAUUACAGUAGAAAACUCAUUUACAUGCAUACAAAAAGUGACAAUAUUAGUAUGACAUACUUCCAUGUCAUUAUAUCAUCCGGCAAUUACAUGCAACAAGUGACAACCUACAAUUACAUACAAAAAGUUAUAUUAGUUCACCACCACAUCCAUUUACACAUACACAAUGUGACAACCCUUUAUGGCAUACAAAAAGUUAUAUUCAUCCACCACAACAACCACAUCUUUAAUGGGUAGAAAUAAAUUUUCUCGUCUAUGCUAAUCGCAUAGAAGGUGGUAGAGUUAGGAAAAUAAGCAUUUGCGUUGGAUGAUCACGAAUUUUUAUCAAUGCAUCAAUUCGCUCAUCAUAUGACCUUCUAUUUCACCUAAAGUCACGUGGAAAGUUUGUACCUUUUCUUAACUGAUCAUUUCUGACUUCUGUUGAAUGAGCACUUUGGAGGCAACGCUCCUACUUAAUUAAAGGUCAAUUGUUCUUAUAGUAUCCCCCAAUAAUGUGGCAGCAUCGAUAAGUGAAGUAGAAGAAUUUGGUUCACUAGCUUUAGAACUCUUUUUCUUCUUCUUUGGAAAUGUAGAAUCAACUUUAUUUAGAUUAGAUUGUUGCGAUUGUGUAGCCGAGACAUCCAUCUCAUCUAAAGAAACAUCAACUUCGCAUUCAUUGUCAUUACUUCCUUCUUCAGGAUUCCUUUCAUUGGCAAUAUCCUCAGCACGUAAUUCUUUUAAAAUAUCACCAGUUGCUUGAGCAUAUUUCCCCGUGGUUCGAUCUUUUGUGUAUAUGGAAGUAAGUUGCUUAUAAUAACGGAAACUUCGAGCUCUAUAAAAAAAGAUUUCAUAACCAUUAUAUACUAUAUGUGUUAGAAGUUGUGUGACCCAAAUUCUUGUUAAAAAUAAAAUACAAGUGGCAAGAUAGGGGGAUCUACGAGGGCAAAGGCCAAGGGUCGAAUAAGGUGUUUUAAUCUUACUGCAUUACUUCUAUUUGAUUUUGAUUAGAAUAUGGUUUUACAAACUUAUAAAUAAAUGCAAUAACUUUUUUUCUCCUCUACCGUUGAUUUUUUCCCCAAAAAGGUUUUCAUGUAAAAUUUUGUGUGUUCUAUUUUCUCUCUUUCUUCGCAAUUCAUUGUCAUUAUCGAUGUUCUAUUUUCACAAAUUGGUAUCAAAGCUUUCCAGGUUACUUAUUUCGAUUACGAAAAUCGCGUCAUUGAAGUAUGAAAUUUCGUUGUUGGAUCGCAACACUAGAUUAGUGUUGUGACAAAUAAAUAUGCAGGCAGUUCUUGCGCAGAUGGAUUUGGAGGAUGCCCUGCUAGGGAUAAAUAAGAUGCCUUCAAUGUUAACGAAGGAAGAAAAGAAGCGUAAAGAUCGAAAGGCUUUGACACAAUUACAUCUGCACUUGUUGAACGAAAUUCUGCAGGAUGCGAUGAAGGAAAAGACUACUACUACAUUAUGGGCAAAACUGUAGCAACUAUGCAUGUCGAAAACCCUGACUAGUAAGUUACAUAUGAAGCAUCAUCUUUAUACUCAUCGUUUAGAGGAAGGUGCGUCUAUGCACAAACACUUAAUUGUGUAUAAAGAAAUUCUCUCGAACUAGAGGCCAUAGAGGUUCAGUAUGAUAAAUAAGAUCUAAGGUUGAUUCUACUUUCUUUCUUUCCCCGUCUUAUUCAACCUUUAGAGAAAUGAUUUUGUAUAGUUGUGAAUCUCUCACAGUUGAUAAGGUCGAUACUUAUUUAACCUCGUAUGACAAGAUGAAACAUCUUGUGGAUGGAUUCGACUCUCAAUGAGAGGGUCUCACUGUUCAUGAGAGACAAGAACGAAAUACUGAUGAUGAUCGUGGGAGGACAAAGGAUCGAAAUCCUCGCAAUAAAUAUAAGGGUAGAUUGAGAUCUUCAAACAGAGGUAAAACUUUUAACUUCUGCAAGAAAAAAUGACACAUUAAAUCUAAGUGUUAUAAGUUACAAAAUAAGAUCAAAAUAGAGGCUGCGAAUCAAAAGGGAAAACAACUAGAAAAAUUUGGUGAAGUUGAUGUUGUAGAAUACUACAGCGAUGGUGAACUCUUAGUUGCUUCUGCGAACAAUUCUAAAGUGGAUGAGGAGUGGAUUCUUAACUCUAGCUGCACCUUCGAUAUGAGUCCGAAUCAGGAUUGGUUUACAACUUAUGAAAUAGUGUUUGAAGGUGUUAUUUUGAUGAGAAAUAAUACUUCAUGGAAAAUCAUAAGUGUUGGCACAAUCAAAAUCAAGAUGUUCAAUGGAGUCAUUAGAACACUUAGUGGCGCACGACAUGUACCAGAAUUGACGAGAAAUUUGAUUUUAUUGGGUACUCUUGAUUCAAAAAAAAUAAAUACACAACUGAAAGUGGGGUUCUAAAGAUUAGCAAUGAUUCCCUCGUUGUGAUGAAAAGGCAGACAAAAACUGCCAAGUUAUAUGUAUUGCAGAGUUCUACUAUUACUGGUGAUGCAACUAUCACUUCCUCUUCCUUGUCAAAUGAUGACGUUACUAGACUUUGGCAUAUGCAUCUAGGGCAUUGAGAAAAAGACUCCACAAGAGGUAUGGUCUGGUAAUCCUACUGAUUAUUCUAAUUUAAAGAUUUUGGGGUGUCUUGCGUAUACUCAUGUUGAUAACAGAAAAUUGGAACCGAGAUCUAUUAAAUGUGUUUUUCUUGGUUAUAAGACUAGUGUAAAAGGGUAUAAGUUAUGGUAUCCUAAAAAUAAAAAAGUUGUGAUUAGUAGAGAUGUUAUUUUUCAUGAAACUGUUAUGCUGCCUAAUUUAUCUCUUAAAGACUCUUCAAAUAAAGAAACAUAAAAGUAUAUGGAGCUUCAGAUUGAUCUAGUAUCUACAACAAAGUCGACCCCUCAAGUUAGUACAGAACUUCAGAACAGAGUCGCUUCUUCACCACAAUAUUCUAUUGCCAAAAAAGAACUAAAAGAUAAAUUAAACCUCCAAAGAGGUAUGCCAAGGCUGAUCUAAUUGCUUAUGCUUUAAAUGUGACUGAAGAUAUAAAUGCAAAUCAAUAACCAUCUACUUAUUCUAAGUGCUAACUCAAAAAAGUGGAUGUUUACCAUGCAAGAAGAGAUAGAAUCACUCUACAAGAAUAGAACAUGGGAUCUUGUGAAGCUUCUUAAAGUUAAGAAGGUUGUUCGUUGUAAAUGAGUGUUCAAGAGAAAAGAAGGGACUCUAGGAGUUGAAGAACCCAGAUAUAAAGUAAGGCUUGUUGCAAAGGGUUAAAAUCAGAUUCAAGGUGUGGACUUCACAAAUGUGUUUUCUUCAUUUGUGAAGUACAGUUCAAUUCAAGUCUUGCUUGGUAUUAUGGGCAUGUAUGAUUUGGAGCUCAAACAGUUAAAUGUAAACAUAACGUUCUUACAUGGAGAACUUGAGGACAUUUACAUGUAAUAACUAGAAAGGUUUACAGUCUCAGAAAAAUAAGACUAUGUUUGAUUGCUGAAAAAGUCCCUUUAUAGCUUGAAAUAGUCACCAAGGCAGUGGUACAAAAGGUUUGAUUCUUUUAUGUCUACUCAUAAUUCCAAAAGAAGUAGCUUUGAUAGUUGUAUUUAUUUUAAGAAAAAUAGUGAUGGUUCUUUUGUGUAUCUACUCCUCUAUGUUAAUGACAUGUUGAUAGUAGCAAAAGAUAAAUGAGAGAUAAGAAAUGUCAAAGCCCGGCUUAGUGAAGAAUUUGAGAUGAAGGAUUUGGGAGUAGCAAAGAAGAUACUUGGUAUGAAGAUUCUAGAAAUAGGAAAGCAAGUAAAUUGUACCUAAGUCAAAAAGGGUACAUUGAGAAAGUUCUUUGCAGGUUCAAUAUGUAGAGUGUUAAGCUUGUUAGUACUCCUUUAGCAGCCUAUUUCAGACUAUCAUCGACUUUGGCUCUACAAUCAGAUGAUGAGAUUGACUACAUAUCACAUGUUCUAUAUUUUAGUGUAGUGGGAUCUCUUAUGUAUGCUAUGACUUGUUCAAGUCUAGAUUUAUCAUAUGCAGUCAGUGCAGUUAGUAGAUACAUGGUGAAUCCCGAUAAAGAAUACUAGAAAGAAGUUUAGUGGAUUUUGAGAUACGAGAUACUACUGAUGUUUGCUUACAUUUUGGAAGAAAUAGAGAUGGAGUCAUUAGGUAUGUUGAUGCUAAUUUUGCUGGAGACCUUAAUAAAAGAAGAUCUCUUACAAGUUAUGUCUUACGAGGUACUAAUUGGGGGUUGUGCAAUCAGUUGGAAAGCCACUUUGCAAAUUACUAUCGCUUUGUCUACCACUGAAGCUGAGUACAUGGCGAUUACUGAGGCUCGUAAAGAAGCUGGUUAAAGGGGCUCUUUAGUGAACUCAAUGAAGACUUUCAAAUCAGUACAGUAUUUUGUGACAGUCAAAGUGUCACCUUCCUUACGAAUGAUCAAAUGUUUUAUGAGAGAACAAAGUACAUUGAUGCUCGGUAUCAUUUUGCUCGUGAUAUUAUUGCUCGUGGUGAUAUUGUUGUGAGCAAAAUUAGCACUCAUUAUAAUCCUGCAGAUAUGAUGACUAAGUCACUUUUUAUAACCAAGCUUGAGCAUUACUUAGAUUUGGUUGGUGUUCAUUGUUGAAGAUAAACCCUUAAGGGGUUUCAUGGAAGAAGUGGAGAACUUGUUCGUUGAGAGUUCGUGAUAAAGAAAUUGUUUGUUGAGAAAUUGUUUGUUGAGAAAUUAUUUACCUAAAUUCCUGUUAAAAUUAAAAUACAAGUGGCAAGAUAGGGGGAUUUACAAGGGCCAAGGCCGUAGUUUAUUGUAGAUCCCUAAUAAGAAAAAUACUGGACUAGGGUCCCAACUGGGGGUACGGGGGCCUUUAGCCCCCGCAGUACGGUACAAGCUGCACAAGUGAAAUCUGCAUUGAAAUUUACUUCCUCUAUUUGAUGUUGAUUAGAAUAAGGUGUUUUAACCUUACUGCAUUACUUCUAUUUGACUUUAAUUAGAAUAAGGUUUUUAAACCUAUAAAUAGACGUGUUCAUCUAUCCUCUUGCAUCAUUCAAAUUCAACAUAGUGAAUUUUCUUCUCCUCUACCCGUGGUUUUUUUCCCAAAAGGAUUUCCACGUAAAAUUCUGUGUGCAUUCUAUUUUCUUUCUUUUUUUGCGUUUCAUUGUCAUUAUUUUCAUUCAAUUUCAUUAUUGUCUUUUCCUCUAAGCAUAUUGUAAAUGAUUGUUCAAUCCUUCUUCAAUGUCUUAAUCAUUGAUUCAAGAUUAGGUUUAUCCUUUAGCAUUGCAGGAGGUAAAACUUUUUCAAUCAUUCUCUCCAAUUCAAGUAAAUAACCAGCCUUGAAUCUCGUACCUGCAUUAAAAGUUCCAUCGUUGUGUAAGUCUACUUCAUUUCCUUUUGGUUCCUCUAGAAUUUUAGAAAGAAGUUGUAGUUGAUUGUGAAAAGCUUGGCAGUUGUAGUUGAUUGUGAAAAGCCUGGCAUACUUUUAAAGAAAUUUCACAAUCGAUUAAUAAAUAAAAAACAAUCAAUUAAUACAAGUCUAGUACAAUACAAAAAUACGAUAAACACCACAUCAAAGAUAAAUAAAAUAAUAGAAAGUCUUCCAAACAACACUUUUAACCCCAUUAAUUUCUAGAUGCUUGUCAUUCAUUGGACAUUUGAUUUGCUAGUUCCAUCCUCCAAUUUACCCAUGCAUCAGUUGGGUGAAUAUUGAUUAUAUUAGGUUCAAAAUCCUCUAUCACCUUACUAUUUAAACCUUCACUCAGCACCGCUUCAAUAGGAUCAAGACUCAUUUCAAUUCUUAUGGGUUUUUAAAAUGAAUACUCAUAUUUUUUUGCUUUUUAUACUCAUCAAAUUCGAAAACUAAUUGUAAUGGCAUUACAAAAAUAAAAUAAUUAAAUUAUGUUAAAUUAAAAUGUAAGAAUUAAAUCUAAAAUUUGAACUUAAUAAUAUUGAAACUGCAAAUAGAGAUUGAGAAUAGUAAUUGUCAUUGCCUCCUCUCCGAGGAGAGUUUUUAUUUAUAAGUCAGACUAGUGUUCACACUGUAACAUCCCAAAAUGGGGUUAGAAGAAUUAUGUUUGUGGUUGAUUGAUUGAUUAGAUUUGAGCUUGAAUGCGCAUGAUUGUUAAAGUGUGUUAAUGUAUGUUUUAGUAUAACUAAGCAUGAUUUGAAUGAUCUAUGUAUGAUAUAAGAUAUGUUAGAAUAGGAAAAAUUGACAUGAAAUAGUAGGUAUAGGUGUCAAUAUGUCAUAUAUAGGUUGGGCAUGUUUUGUUAUCUUUGCAAUUGAGUCCUGAUUUUUAUGUUAUGCAAUUGAAGCCCCUAGAUGCUAUGAAAUGACUUGAAAGUUUGCAUGAUAAAGUCUUAUUUGGAUAAUUCCAUAAUUUUACUCUUGAUUUUACAAAAAUUUUUUACUAAAAUUGUAACACCCCUAACCCCUCUCCGUCAUCAGAUUAGGGUCACAAGCGUCACUAACCAAUCACAACAUUUAAUUACAUCAUAAGUAAAUUUGCAAGCUAACUAUUUACAUCACAUCGUACCGGGAGCAAUACAUGCUAAUCUAAUAUUUCCAUAAUAGUGUUUUAUACAAUCGAAUAAUGAAUCAUACUAUGCAAUACUAAACUUGGUCUUCCACUGUCUAUACUCUUAUUACUAUUUAUCCCCUCUUGAAAACUAAAAGUUGGAUACAUAACAAGACUAUUUCAAUUAUUAGCAUCAGAGUAUUGGACCAUACUCCGACUGCUACCUUUGAUGAUAUUAGUAGAAUGACCUAUUUCACCUAACUUAAGUUUCUAUAUCAUUCCAAAUCAAAGUUAAAAAUACUUUUACAGUCCUUAUACGAGUCUACGGGACCCUAAAAAUAAUCUAAAAAUAGACAGGGGUUAAUUUGAAACAAUUCUGGAAGUUUAGGGAAAAUUUCAAAAAUACCUAAAAAUAGGGGUCACACGGCCGCAUGGCCAGGCCGUGUGGAACACCCUAGACCGUUUGACUUUUGAAGUUGGGACACACAGCCGUAUCCCAGCCCGUGUGUCUCACUGACUUAUAUCACACGGUCGUGUCACAGGCCAUGUGUCAACCCAUGUGUGUAACAGACCGUGUCUCAGGCUAUGUGUACCUAAAUGUACCUUAAAACUCAAGUUUACCAAAUUGUGUUUACUUAGACACUAAACAACCAAUUCACCAAUCAUUUAACCUAUUCAAAACUCAAUUAAACAUGCUCAAAACAAGCUAAAACAACCAUCCUAAGUGCCUAACCAAUGUAGCCUCAUUGGUACCACAUUUUAUAUCUUCAAACAUAUUAACAAAGCAUCAUCCAUUCAAAACCUUCAUUCAUACCAAAUUUCCCAUAAUUGGACUAACAUUUAGCUACUUAGGUUACCAAACCUCAAGUUAAACACAUACUAAACUUUAAGCUAAGCUAUCAUACCAAACAUAACCUCAACCACAACCAUAUAUACAAAUAACCAUCAUUUCACUUGAAAACCAAAAUAUUAUUACAUAUCAACAACAUUGAUCAAAAGACCUCCUAGGUACAUGCCAUUACAAAAAUAAACAUCACCACACUUGAGUACGGAAUCGUUGCUUAUUAUUCAAUUUAGUCUCUAAACUGAGACUAAUUUUAAUCUCCACAUUUAACUUUAUAUUUUUAUACUAAUUUCACCCUAAGCUACAUUUAGCUCCCUAUUUUCAAUUCUACCCUUUAAUUUUAAAUUAUUUGUAAUUUAGUCCCUAUUACUCAAAAUUAACAAUUAAUUUCACAAUUUAGUCAUUUUCCACUUCUAACUUAAAAAUCUAUCAAUUUAACCCCUAGUAAUUAAACUAUUCAACAAUGACAACAUCUAAAAUAUUAAACAAUACUAAAAAUUAUAACAUAAGUCGAGUAGUUCUAAGUAUCGGGAUUCCAAAAACGUAAAAAUUACAAAAAAAAUGACUAAAUUACACUAACUAAAUUUGGAUUUGAUGUCCAAACCCUCCUAAGACGUGAGUUACUUCUUUUCUUCUCCCUGUUGUUUCGAAUGCAUGUAAAAGAGAAUGAAAUUCUCUUUCACUCCACUAUCAAUUAUGUUUUAUUUUAUUUUAUUUUAAAAUUUAUUAUUAUAAUUUACACAUAUUAAAUUAACAUAAUAUAUAUUAUAUAUAUACAUAUCAUAAAUGUUUCAUUAUGACAGUCCAUUAAAAGGAAACAAGGGUGUAUUUACUUAUUUAGUCCCUUUAAUUAAUUUCAAUAUAUAAUUCAACUUUCAACGCCUACGCGAUUUAAUCCCUAUAAAUUAAUAGCUCUUUAUUCAUGAAAAUUACUUGUCCAAAAUUUAACUCGCCUCUAAUAUGACUCUGUAAAUAUUUAAUAAAAAUAUUUACGGGUUCGAUUUGUAGAAACGGAGUCCCAAAAAUACACUUUCCAACACCCCUGACUAUUAGGUUGUUACAAAAAUAUUUUACUAAAAUUACAAUUUAGUCCUUAAACUUUGCUUUAAAAAUUAAAUGAGCUUUACUUAUCAGUUCUAGAAUUUUCUUUCAAUUAUUGUCCUUAUUAAAUUGUUUUAUACCGUACAUAUUAUUUAAUUAUUGAAUUACAAAUGUUACUAAUGUCAUAUGUUAAAUAAGAAAUGAAUAUUAGACUUGUUGGUUUCCGUGUAUCUAAGCCAUCUUAUUAGAGUUUAUUAAGGGUGAAAUGAAUUGAAAUAUUAAUAUUGAGAUUUGACUAGGGAUGUUAAUUGGGUGGGGCAGGUGUGGGGGGUGCUACCCCUGUACCCAUCUUUGCCAAAAAUUUUCAUCCCCAUCCUCACCUCGCUACCCACUGCAAGUACAAAACUCAAAACCAUCCCUACCCCACCACCCACGUAGGUCCCCAGACCCACCUAAUCCUUGCUUUACCCACCCUGUAACCCACUUCACAUAAUAUAUUAUAAGUAUCAGUCAAAUAAAUAUAAACAGAUAGUAGUAAAGUAGGAGAUAAAUGAGAUAAUGAAGUAAGAGCUUUAAGUUUGCAAGUUGUGGCAUAGAGCAAUGGUGAGUAAUUUUAGGGUUUUCAUGUGAAAUAGAGAAAGUGAGAUGUGUUAAAAUUGGGUGAGAAACUAUGGAGUGCUCUCCUUUUUUUUUUUUUUGCAACUCUGGUGGUUUAUCUAUAAAUUAUCUGGCAGCUUUUAUCUACAAAUAUGUUGUGCAUUCACAACCAUCUGGCAGUGUAUUAACCUGUAACACUGGUGGUUCACCCACCCACAUUCUGGCAGCUCUUAUCUACAAAUAUGUUGUAUAUUCAUAACCAUCUGGCAACGUAUUAACCUGCAACUUUUGUGAUUUAUCCACAACCCGAUGUGUAUGAUGGACGAAUUUUGGAGAACUCUUACUAGGGUGUGUAGUGGUGGGGUAGGAUCUUUUAUGUUAAACUGAAAUUGUAUUGCUUUCAUAAACAUGUGUAUACAAUUCUGAGAUUUCUGAGAUGAUACAUAUACAUAUACAUUAUUGAGUUGAUCUGAUAUACCGAUAUUCUAAAAUUGCUAUGGUGGAUUAUUCUAUGUGAUGUAAUUUAUGUUAAUCGAUUGCACUGAUUUGUUUGUGAUGGAACUCACACUGAGCUUCAUAGCUCACUCCCCUUUUGUUUCCAUCUUUACAGAUAACUCACCAGGUUAGGAUGUAAACACGACAUUCGAAGGGUCUUGUCUCAGUUUUAAUUUAUUAAAAUGUUUUAGAUUUAUUAUUCGAUAUUUUUACAUUUUAGAGACUAUACAUGGGACUUAGGAUUUGGGUCCUGCAUGACUUUUAAUUUGACCUUAAAUAUUGAAAUAUGAAUCUUAAUUAUUUUUGCAUGAAAUUAAUUUUUAUUUAAAUCAAUUUAAUUAUCACUUUUUCGCUGCUAAAUUAUAAUUAAAAUUUGGAGUAAUAAAUAAAUUAGUAAUUAACUAAGUUUUCAAAAGUAAGUCUUCGUUACCUAAGUUGGUAAAUUUAAAUCGGUUUUUGACAACUUGAAAGUUUUCCGAAAAUAGACCAAGUUUUCAUCUAAAAUAAAACAAAUGUUUUAAUAUGAUCGUUUUAAAAAAAAAUCUGAUAGCUUAUCGAGCCAUUUCGGUGGCUAAUGUAGUCUUCCGAAUUUGAGUAUAAUGUUUAGGUCGAGUUCGGAGGUUGCAUACACUCCGCUUAUACAAGACAUUUACAAUUUUUCAAUAAUUUAUUUAAUUAAAUAAUUAUUAUUUUUAAUUAAAAUUUUAUUGAUUUAAGUAAUUAUUUACUUUUUUAUAUAAAUUAAUUUAUCUAAUUGACCUUAAGUUAGUAAUAAUAUUAUUAAUAUAUUAAAUGUAUAAAUCAAAUUGAGUAGAAUCAUUUUAAAUAAAUAAUUUAAAAUUAUUUUUAAUGGAUUGAAUUUGAAUAUUAAAUGAAAUUCUAAAUAAACCUAAAAAGAAUUAUUUUAUUUAAAAACGUAAACAAGUUAUAUAUAGAUUAAAAAUAUGACUUUUAUAAUAAUAUUAUAUUUUGGUCCUAAUUAAAACUAAACUUAUUCUAAUUUAUAAAAAUAAUUAUUUUUAAAAUAAAAUAACUUAUUUUUCAAGUGAAUAAUGGACAAAUUUUAAAUCGGCCUACAAGUAAAUACAUGGAUUAAUUCCAUUAAACAUAUAAUUUAUAAUUAAUAAAUGUUAGAUGUAGUGGUAAAGCACACUGUACUUUUGAAAUUUAGGGCCUAUUUGGAUGUGCGGUAUGUUUAUCUGUAGUUAGUGUAAAAAUGGCGGUAGUGGUGAGAUUAAAUACUAUAACGAUACUGUAGCGUGAGACAAAAAAAAGCUAAACAUACUGCAUUGAAGGCAAACGUCCAUUCAAAGGUACCCUUAGUGUUCUUCUUUUAAUUUCAAGAAUUUAACUCCACAAGGACCAAUUAAAAAUUAAAAUUCAAUUGGUAAUACUUUUAUUAGACUUUAUUGGAUUUGAAUAUAUGACGUUUUAAUAUUCAAAAGUUUGAUUUAAAAAUUAAAGUUCAAAUUGAUAACUCUUAUUUAUAGAAGCCAAUUAAUAGUGUUACAAUUGUAUUUUAAUUUUUAAAUCAAACAAAAUAAAAAGAUUAAAUUCCAAAAAAAUUAAAAAAGUAAAAGGACUGAUGGAUAAUUAAACCUUUCUUUUCUUCCCUUCUUUUCCAUCCACCAAAACAGAAAAAAGAAAAAGUCAAUGUGUCGAAAAUUAGAAGCAAAACUUCUGCAGUAUCCUAUGUAUUUUUGUCUUUAUAUAUAAUAACAUGGAAGAAGAAAAAGGAACCAACUUGCUAGUAGCCUAUUUAUGUAUUUGAAAAAAACAACAGCCGUUAGAUCUGGCAAUGUAGAUAUAAAUAUAAUAAGAUUAAAUAAUUUUUUAAUGGUAAUAAUUAAAUAAAAGGGUAAACUGUAAAAAUAGUCAUUUUUAUUUGCUUCAGAUUACAAUUUUAAUCACUUAUUUAUCGUUUUAUUAGGAAGUGGUCACUCUACUUUUAAGCUCUGUUACCUCCUUAACAACAGUCGUACGUGACAAUCCAAAUAGGUUUUAAAUGUCAACUUGGAUGCCCUACGUGACAGUCCGAAUUAAAUUUAUUUAAUUAAAAAUAUAUUUUUAUAUCAAUAACUGGACAUACGAGUUGGCAUUUAAAACUUAUUUGAAUUACCACAUAGGACUAUUGUUAGGGAGGCAACGAAGUUAAUGAUAAAGUGAUCAUUUCGUAACAAAACGAUAAUGUGCGUGAUUAAAAUAUAAUCUGAGACAAAAAAAGUGACUAUUUUUAUAGUUUACCCUAAUUCUUAAAAAAAUUAUUUAUUUGACUAUUUUCAUAGACUAUUGAAAUUCAACCUUUCUAGAACAUUACAUUGGGUUCAAACUUAACACGCAUUCAAUUAUUUGUGCACAUUUAUUUUUUCUGAUUAAAUAAAUAAUUUUGUUUGGUUCAUCAUGAAAAAGAUAUUUGUUUUUUGGGUUGUAGCUUGGAAAGAAAGACAUUCAUAUUUGGAUUACUUUGCUAUAAAUUCAAACUAUCUGACGCCAAAAUAUAUUAUCUGAUCCUUCUCCACCUUGUCUUUCUCACAGUUUUUCUUGAUUUUUGCCUUUCCCAGACUUAAAAGCUUCGGUUUUUAUUUUCACUUUGAAAAACGAAAAUGGAUAAGAUUAAGAGUAUGAUGCGCGCUGUUCAGUACAGUAAAUAUGGCGGAGGAGUCGCCGAUCUCAAGGUAAUAUACUUGCUUCUUUUGAUUAUGUUUAUUUCUUGAGUUUAAAAGUUUGAUUAAAAGUUUAAAAUGGAGGUUUAAUUAAAAUUUGUGAUUUAGUCCUUAAUCUUAUAGAGUUUUAUGGAUAUAAGGCUGGGUGAAGGGGGGGGGGGGGUUUAAUUAGCUAAUUAAAUUAGGAUCGUUGAUUAAAUUUUGAGGUACCGACACCAUCCGUAAAAUCUUGAGAUGUGCUGAUUUUUCUACACGUGUCUACCUUGAUGGCUCAUCGUCACCUCCAUCGGUGCUGCUCUUCUCAUACUGCCGAUUAAGACUUCGGAUCUAUACACUUCUUAAUUCUUGAAAUUUCUCAAGUUUUUUCUUUUAGGUUUUUUUCAUGCUUUCUUUAGGAUUUUUAUUACAAGUGAAAUUAAGAUGCCUAGAAUAGAUGUUGUCUAAGAAUCGAAUCAGCGAAAUGAAAUAUCGAAAAUUUUGGUUGUUUAUUAAAAUAUUAAGUUGGUUUUGAGGUUUGAGUCCAAAGCCGAAUUGAUUCUUUCACUAACAUGGGAAAACUUAAAUAAUUUUGAGAUCAAAUUGUAAUUUUAUUAAACUCAUGAAAUGGAUUCCAUUAGCACGGGAAUUCCAGUAAGAGUACGAGACUGAGAGAUUGACGGCAAAGUCAACUUCUUUUUUUUUUUUUUUUGCAUAUAUGCAUUUCCAGCAUUUCUUUACUUUGAUGAACUUGAAAAAAAAAUUGCUAAUGACCUGAUUUUAUAACGAGUGUGAAUUUUGUGGGUGUUGCAGCAUGUUGAAGUUCCGGUUCCCAGUCCAAAAAAGGAUGAAGUUUUGAUCAAAGUAGAGACAGCUAGUAUUAACCCAAUCGACUGGAAACUACAGGAUGGGGUAGCUCGGCCAUUUUUACCUCGGAAAUUCCCCCACAUUCCUGGUACUUUACUUUUCUCUGGAUGGUUCAACUCUAUGGGUUAAUCCGAAGCAUCAAAACUUUUCUUUCUGUGAUUGCUUGUUUAUCAAUCAUUUGCUAAACAACUUUUGGUCGAGCAGGUACCGAUGUAGCAGGAGAAGUCGUACAAGUUGGAUCAGAAGUCCAGAGUUUCAAAGUUGGGGAGAACGUUGUUGCCGUACUUGGUGUAAGUACUCAUUCUUAUUCUGAAGUUUGUUGCAUACUUGCAUGAGAGAAACAUAUGUAUGUUUGAUACAUUGGACAGUUUGUUGCUUCAAGCUAUACAACACUCAGGCCAUAGAUUCUUUUUCACCUUAUUAUUCAUUUCCUUGUUUUAUGUGUUAUCUAGCAUCAUUUGUGUCCUGGUUCUUGCCAAUAUCUUAUUAUUUGAAUAUAUUUUGCAAUUACAGAAUGGAGGUGCACUAGCUGAAUAUGCUGUGGCUAAUGAAGGUUCCACAGUUUCAAGGCCUCCAGAGGUAUCAGCCCGUGAAGCUGCAGCUUUGCCAAUUGCUGGCCUCGCAGCUCACCAGUCACUCACCCAGCUUGCUGGGAUCAAACUCGAUGGAACCGGCCCAGAAGUGAAUGUAUUGGUUACCGCUGCUUCAGGUGGUGUAGGUCAAUAUGCCGUUCAACUCCUAAAGCUCGCAAAUGCACACAUUACAGCCACUUGUGGGGCUCGUAACAUAGAUUUAGUCAGGAGCCUGGGGGCUGAUGAGGUUCUUGACUACAAAACUCCUGAUGGGGUGGCUCUCAAGAGCCCUUCUGGUCGAAAAUACGAUGUAAUCAUCCACUGUGCACACAACAUUCCUUGGUCUACCUUUGAGGCUAACUUGACUUCAAAAGGGAAGGUAGUAGAUACCACUCCUGGUUUCGGCACUUUGAUGAGUGUUGCUUUCAAAAAGAUAACAUUCGCAAAGAGGCAACUCAUACCCUUGUUUACCUCACCUAAGAAAGAGAACCUUGA
rnacentral:lncRNA from 1 species